AUUGAACGCUGGCGGCAUGCCUAACACAUGCAAGUCGAACGGUAACGCGGGGGCAACCCUGGCGACGAGUGGCGGACGGGUGAGUAAUACGUAGGAAUCUGCCCAUUUGUGGGGGAUAACCCGGCGAAAGCCGGGCUAAUACCGCAUACGCUCUACGGAGGAAAGCGGGGGAUCGUAAGACCUCGCGCUAAUGGAUGAGCCUACGUCGGAUUAGCUAGUUGGUAGGGUAACGGCCUACCAAGGCGACGAUCCGUAGCUGGUCUGAGAGGACGAUCAGCCACACUGGGACUGAGACACGGACCAGACUCCUACGGGAGGCAGCAGUGGGGAAUAUUGGACAAUGGGGGCAACCCUGAUCCAGCAAUGCCGCGUGUGUGAAGAAGGCCUGCGGGUUGUAAAGCACUUUCAGAGGGGAAGAAAAAGUCGGAGCUAAUACCUCCGAUCUUGACGUUACCUUAGAAGAAGCACCGGCUAACUCCGUGCCAGCAGCCGCGGUAAUACGGAGGUGCAAGCGUUAAUCGGAAUACUGGCGUAAGCGCACGCAGGUGGCUGAGUCAGUCGGUUGUGAAAGCCCUGGGCUUAACCUGGGAAUUGCAGUCGAUACUACUCAGCUCGAGUAUGGGAGAGGGAAGUGGAAUUCCCGGUGUAGCGGUGAAAUGCGUAGAUAUCGGGAGGAACAUCAGUGGCGAA
rnacentral:rRNA from 1 species